AGCGAACGCUGGCGGCAGGCUUAACACAUGCAAGUCGAGCGGGCCUUUCGGGGUCAGCGGCGGACGGGUGAGUAACGCGUGGGAACGUGCCCUCUGGUUCGGAAUAACUCAGGGAAACUUGAGCUAAUACCGGAUACGCCCUUUUGGGGAAAGGCUUGCUGCCGGGGGAUCGGCCCGCGUCUGAUUAGCUAGUUGGUGAGGUAACGGCUCACCAAGGCGACGAUCAGUAGCUGGUCUGAGAGGAUGAUCAGCCACACUGGGACUGAGACACGGCCCAGACUCCUACGGGAGGCAGCAGUGGGGAAUAUUGGACAAUGGGCGCAAGCCUGAUCCAGCCAUGCCGCGUGAGUGAUGAAGGCCUUAGGGUUGUAAAGCUCUUUUAUCCGGGACGAUAAUGACGGUACCGGAGGAAUAAGCCCCGGCUAACUUCGUG
rnacentral:rRNA from 1 species